UACGGAGGGUGCGAGCGUUGUCCGGAAUCACUGGGCGUAAAGGGCGCGUAGGUGGCGCGACAAGUCAACGGUGAAAGCCCGGGGCUCAACCCCGGGUCGGCCGUCGAUACUGUUGGGCUUGAGCACUGUAGAGGCAGAUGGAAUUCCGGGUGUAGCGGUGGAAUGCGUAGAGAUCCGGAAGAACACCGGUGGCGAAGGCGGCCUGCUGGGCAGUAGCUGACGCUGAGGCGCGACAGCGUGGGGAGCAAACAGG
rnacentral:rRNA from 1 species